rnacentral:rRNA from 1 species
CUACGGGCGGCACCAGCUAAGAAUAUUGCACAAUGGGGGGAACCCUGAUGCAGCAACGCCGCGUGGAGGAUGACGCAUUUCGGUGUGUAAACUCCUUUUAUAUGUCAAGAAAAUGACGGUAGCAUAUGAAUAAGCACCGGCUAACUCCGUGCCAGCAGCCGCGGUAAUACGGAGGGUGCAAGCGUUACUCGGAAUCACUGGGCGUAAAGGACGCGUAGGCGGGUUGGAAAGUCAGGUGUGAAAUCCUACAGCUUAACUGUAGAACUGCACUUGAAACUUCUAAUCUAGAGUAUGGGAGGGGGAGAUGGAAUUAGUGGUGUAGGGGUAAAAUCCGUAGAUAUCACUAGGAAUACCUAAAGCGAAGGCGAUCUCCUGGAACAUUACUGACGCUAAGGCGUGAAAGCGUGGGGAGCAAACAGGAUUAGAUACCCCCGUAGUC